rnacentral:piRNA from 1 species
UCCUCGGGUAAAUAAUUUGGAGAUUGC